UACAUGGGGUGCAAACGUUGCUCGGAAUUAUUGGGCGUAAAGCGCACGUAGGCGGUUCGUUAAGUCAGAUGUGAAAGCCCUGGGCUCAACCUAGGAACUGCAUUUGAAACUGCUGGUCUUGAGUAGUGGAGAGGAUCGUGGAAUUCCUGGUGUAGAGGUGAAAUUCGUAGAUAUCAGGAGGAACACCGGUGGCGAAGGCGGCGAUCUGGACACUUACUGACGCUGAGACGCGAAAGCGUGGGGAGCAAACAGG
rnacentral:rRNA from 1 species